rnacentral:lncRNA from 1 species
UCUGUUUUGACGAUGUGCUAGUAUGAGGCCUUUUCACUAAUUAGUGUGGCGAGUGCUUUAUACACUGUAGCACAUAAAUUUUCUUGUUUCCUUUUUAAAAUUGUAGUGAGAAACAAGAGUCUGUGUCUUUUUCAAAGACAAGUUCAUUUAAACCUUUUAUGCAUAAUUUCAGACUCUUGUACUCAAACCAGUUUUUAAAGGAAAACUUUAUUUCUUUCAUCGGUUGUGAUUGUCAUUCUUUAUGUAAAUCAUUUUAUAGUCACAACUGAUUCAUUUUUCCUCAAAAGAUUAAAUGCAAUUGCUCUCAUUCAAAAUCAUAGAUUUUCUAAAAUGCAUUUAUAUCUCCUUCUGUUCUUCGGAACUUAAUCAGCCUCUUGGCUUUCCUAGAUAGUCAUAAGGUUGAAAACCAACAAUCUUUAUCCCAGACUAUAAA